rnacentral:rRNA from 1 species
UACGGGGGGAGCAAGCGUUGUUCGGAUUUACUGGGCGUAAAGGGCUCGUAGGUGGCCAACUAAGUCAGACGUGAAAUCCCCAGGCUCAACUUGGGAACUGCGUCUGAUACUGGAUGGCUUGAAUUCGGGAGAGGGAUGCAGAAUUCCAGGUGUAGCGGUGAAAUGCGUAGAUAUCUGGAGGAAUACCGGUGGCGAAGGCGGCAUCCUGGACCGAUAUUGACACUGAGGAGCGAAAGCCAGGGGAGCAAACGGG